UACGUAGGGUGCAAGCGUUGUCCGGAAUUAUUGGGCGUAAAGAGCUCGUAGGCGGCUUGUUGCGUCAGCUGUGAAAACCCGCAGCUCAACUGUGGGCUUGCAGCUGAUACGGGCAGGCUUGAGUUCGGUAGGGGAGACUGGAAUUCCUGGUGUAGCGGUGAAAUGCGUAGAUAUCUGGAGGAACACCGGUGGCGAAGGCGGCGUCCUGGACCAAUACUGACACUGAAACGCGAAAGCCAGGGGAGCAAACAGG
rnacentral:rRNA from 1 species